rnacentral:rRNA from 1 species
AACGAACGCUGGCGGCGUGCCUAACACAUGCAAGUCGAACGGGAAAACCCGCAAGGGUGAGUACAGUGGCGCACGGGUGCGUAACACGUGGGUAAUCUGCCCAGAAGCCCGGAAUAACUCCCCGAAAGGGGUGCUAAUGCCGGAUGAGACCACGGGGACUUCGGUUCCUGGGGGAAAAGGUGGCCUCUGUAUACAAGCUAUCACUUCUGGAUGAGCCCGCGGCCCAUCCGCUAGUUGGCGGGGGACUGGCCCACCAAGGCUACGACGGGUAUCUGGUCUGGUAGGCGGGUAAGCGACACUGGAACUGAGACACGGUCCAGACUCCAACGGGAGGCAGCGGUGGGGAAGCUUGCGCAAUGGGGGAAAGCCUGACGCAGCAACGCCGCGUGUGUGAUGAAGGUCUUCGGAUCGUAAAGCACUGUCGGGAGGGGCGAAUAAGGGCCGGGUGAACAAUCCGGUUCGACGACGGUACCUCCAGAGGAAGUACCGGCUAACUCUGUGCCAGCCGCCGCAGUAAUAC